UUCGCAAUGCCCGAAAGGGUGACGAAGCGACGCCGCAUGUGGGAAGAAGGCCUUCGGGUUGUAAACCACUGUCGGGAGUUAAGAAAUGCAAGGAUAUGAAUAGUGUCUUUGCUUGACUAAGGCUCCGGAGGAAGCCACGGCUAACUCUGUGCCAGCAGCCGCGGUAAUACAGAGGCGGCAAGCGUUGUUCGGAAUUAUUGGGCGUAAAGAGCACGUAGGCGGCUAUGUAAGUCGGUUGUGAAAGCCUUCCGCUCAACGGGAGAACAGCAUCCGAUACUGCAUGGCUUGAGUGCGGGAGGGGAGAGUGGAACUUCUGGUGGAGCGGUGAAAUGCGUAGAUAUCAGAAGGAACGCCGGCGGCGAAAGCGGCUCUCUGGCCCAUAACUGACGCUGAGUGUGCGAAAGCUAGGGGAGCAAACGGGAUUAGAUACCCCGGUAGUCCUAGCCGUAAACGAUGGGCACUAAGUAGAGGGGUUUU
rnacentral:rRNA from 1 species